CCCUGGCUCCUGACAGUCUCUAUACAGCUCUCCCUGGCUCCUGACAGUCUCUAUGCCCAGCUCUCCCUGGCUCCUGACAUCUCUAUGCACAGCUCUCCCUGGCUCCUGACAGUCUCUAUGCACAGCUCUCCCUGGCUCCUGACAGUCUCUAUGCACAGCUCUCCCUGGCUCCUGACAGUCUCUAUGCACAGCUCUCCCUGGCUCCUGACAGUCUCUAUACAGCUCUCCCUGGCUCCUGACAGUCUCUAUACACAGCUCUCCCUGGCUCCUGACAGUCUCUAUACAGCUCUCCCUGGCUCCUGACAGUCUCUAUACAGCUCUCCCUGGCUCCUGACAGUCUCUAUGCCCAGCUCUCCCUGGCUCCUGACAGUCUCUAUACAGCUCUCCCUGGCUCCUGACAGUCUCUAUGCCCAGCUCUCCCUGGCUCCUGACAUCUCUAUGCACAGCUCUCCCUGGCUCCUGACAGUCUCUAUGCACAGCUCUCCCUGGCUCCUGACAGUCUCUAUGCACAGCUCUCCCUGGCUCCUGAAAGUCUCUAUACAGCUCUCCCUUGCUCCUGACAGUCUCUAUACAGCUCUCCCUGGCUCCUGACAGUCUCUAUGCCCAGCUCUCCCUGGCUCCUGACAGUCUCUAUGCCCAGCUCUCCCUGGCUCCUGACAGUCUCUAUGCCCAGCUCUCCUUGGCUCCUGACAGUCUCUAUGCCCAGCUCUCCCUGGCUCCUUGGCAGUCUCUAUGCCCAG